UAAAAAGUUACUGUGUCUCAAAUCGGAAUGAAACAUUUUAUAAGUUCCGUUUGUAUGAAAUCAUUAGGAAACAUCUUAAAACUCCGUCCCUGAGCUCAGUUUCGUGACUCUUGUUAAAGGUGUGUGUGAGUGUGUGUGUGAGUGUGUGUGUGAGCAUCAGUGUCCUCUGUUUGAGCAGCACGCCGGAGGGCUGCGCCUGCACUUUACCGCAGAACGUGGCCAUGUUUACCGUAGCGGCCGAGAGGCUCCAGCUCUCUUUGCUUUUCCUCAUUUGUGUCACUUUGGCCCAGCAGCAAUGUGAUAUGACCGCUGUGGUCGGGGACACGGUGACCAUCCCACUGGGGGGGGGGUCCACACCCCAAGGACCUCAAGAACCUGGUGUGGAAGCACGAAACCGGGACGGGAUCUUUGACGGCGUUCCGGAGGAGCGGAGGACGGGUCUCCAGAGGCACCGGACGAGAUGUGACCGGGGACGGAUCCCUCGUCCUGCGCGACGUCCAGAUGUCCCACUCAGGACAGUAUUCUGCUCGUGUGGCCAACACUGAUGGAGUUCGACCCGUGACGGUGACCCUGUGUGUGACGAAACCAGUCUAUGGACUACUGGGAGCAGACGUGGAACUGGACCCAGAUGUGAGCGAGACCCUUUUCGACAUCUCAUGGCAGAGAGGACGCUAUUUUGUAGCCAUGUGGAACAGGGAUAUUGCUGAACAUGAUUAUUAUGGCAGAUGUGAGACCGGCGAGCAGUGUGACCUAAAUAACUCUACUGGGGUGUUGGUAAUGAAAGGGUUAAAGGCAGAAGAUGAAGGACGGUACCUUGCUAAAAUCAACAGGAAAACGCCUCUAAUGGGACUUGACCUGAUCCCACUGAGUAAGUAGCCGCCAUUGAUUGAUUGAUUGAUCGAUCCAGUAA